rnacentral:rRNA from 1 species
AUGAACGCUGGCGGCGUGCCUAAUCCCUGCCAGUCGAGCGAACAGACGAGGAGCUUGCUCCUCUGACGUUAGCGGCGGACGGGUGAGUAACACGUGGAUAACCUACCUAUAAGACUGGGAUAACUUCGGGAAACCGGAGCUAAUACCGGAUAAUAUAUUGAACCGCAUGGUUCAAUAGUGAAAGACGGUUUUGCUGUCACUUAUAGACGGAUCCGCGCCGCAUUAGCUAGUUGGUAAGGUAACGGCUUACCAAGGCGACGAUGCGUAGCCGACCUGAGAGGGUGAUCGGCCACACUGGAACUGAGACACGGUCCAGACUCCUACGGGAGGCAGCAGUAGGGAAUCUUCCGCAAAGGGCGAAAGCCUGACGGAGCAACGCCGCGUGAGUGAUGAAGGUCUUCGGAUCGUAAAACUCUGUUAUUAGGGAAGAACAAAUGUGUAAGUAACUAUGCACGUCUUGACGGUACCUAAUCAGAAAGCCACGGCUAACUACGUG